GAUGAACGCUGGCGGCGUGCCUAAUACAUGCAAGUCGAGCGAACAGACGAGGAGCUUGCUCCUCUGACGUUAGCGGCGGACGGGUGAGUAACACGUGGAUAACCUACCUAUAAGACUGGGAUAACUUCGGGAAACCGGAGCUAAUACCGGAUAAUAUAUUGAACCGCAUGGUUCAAUAGUGAAAGACGGUUUUGCUGUCACUUAUAGAUGGAUCCGCGCCGCAUUAGCUAGUUGGUAAGGUAACGGCUUACCAAGGCAACGAUGCGUAGCCGACCUGAGAGGGUGAUCGGCCACACUGGAACUGAGACACGGGCCAGACUCCUACGGGAGGCAGCAGUAGGGAAUCUUCCGCAAUGGGCGAAAGCUUGACGGAGCAACGCCGCGUGAGUGAUGAAGGUCUUCGGAUCGUAAAACACUGUUAUUAGGGAAGAACAAAUGUGUAAGUAACUAUGCACGUCUUGACGGUACCUAAUCAGAAAGCCACGGCUAACUACGUG
rnacentral:rRNA from 1 species